CAGCAGCCGCGGGAAUACGGAGGGUGCAAGCGUUAAUCGGAAUUACUGGGCGUAAAGCGCACGCAGGCGGUCUGUCAAGUCAGAUGUGAAAUCCCCGGGCUUAACCUGGGAACUGCAUUUGAAACUGGCAGGCUAGAGUCUUGUAGAGGGGGGUAGAAUUCCAGGUGUAGCGGUGAAAUGCGUAGAGAUCUGGAGGAAUACCGGUGGCGAAGGCGGCCCCCUGGACAAAGACUGACGCUCAGGUGCGAAAGCGUGGGGAGCAAACAGGAUUAGAUACCCGUGUAGUCCCUGUCUCUUAUAU
rnacentral:rRNA from 1 species